rnacentral:rRNA from 1 species
AACGUAGGAGACAAACGUUAUCCGGAGUUACUGGGCGUAAAGGGCGUGCAGGUGGUCUGUUAAGUCUGGCGUGAAAGCUCCUGGCUAAACCGGGAGAGGUCGUUGGAUACUGGCGGACUAGAGGACGGUAGAGGCGUGUGGAAUUCCGGGUGUAGUGGUGAAAUGCGUAGAGAUCCGGAGGAACACCAGUGGCGAAGGCGACACGCUGGGCCGUACCUGACACUGAGGUGCGAAAGCGUGGGGAGCAAACAGG